rnacentral:rRNA from 1 species
CUUACGGGCGGCAGCAGUGGGGAAUAUUGGACAAUGGGCGAAAGCCUGAUCCAGCCAUGCCGCGUGUGUGAAGAAGGCCUUCGGGUUGUAAAGCACUUUCAGUGGGGAAGAAAGCCUUGGGGCUAAUACCCUCGAGGAAGGACAUCACCCACAGAAGAAGCACCGGCUAACUCCGUGCCAGCAGCCGCGGUAAUACGGAGGGUGCGAGCGUUAAUCGGAAUUACUGGGCGUAAAGCGCGCGUAGGCGGUCUGAUAAGCCGGUUGUGAAAGCCCCGGGCUCAACCUGGGAACGGCAUCCGGAACUGUCAGGCUAGAGUGCAGGCGAGGAAGGUAGGAUUCCCGGUGUAGCGGUGAAAUGCGUAGAGAUCGGGAGGAAUACCAGUGGCGAGGGCGGCCUUCUGGACUGACACUGACGCUGAGGUGCGAAAGCGUGGGUAGCAAACAGGAUUAGAUACCCGGUAGUC